GAUUUGUCAAAGCAUAUCUUUGAGUUUGAUGAUGAAUUUAUCUUCAGCCUAAAGGAGUCCGAUGAACCAUUGGCUGUUGUUAGUCCAGAGGAACCCACACAGCCACUUCAUACAUCAACACCAAAGAAACCCAUACAUACAAGUAAAACAGGAAAAGGCAGACCAGUUCGGAGGUUAUUAAAGCUUAAGAAAACAGGGGAAGUGCAACGUCUACAGCCAUGUAG